AAACCAAAUCUGAAUUGGCUGGGAUACCUGGAAGACGUUUAGAGCCAUAGGCCAUGGCAGCUGGAAUAUGAAUUGUACGUUCUCCACCUACUUGCAUACCCACGAUACCAACGUCCCACCCUUUUAUCACUUCCUCGAGUCCAAGAUUAAAAGUAAAGGGCUUUCCGGUAAUGUUUUUGUCAAAUACCUUUCCGUUAGUAAGACGACCUAUGUAACGCAUAGAAACGCGCUUUUUGCGCUUCGCAGCUGGUCCGUCACCUUUAACUUUAUCUUGAACCGUAACGUUUCCUUCAAGUACUUGCUUAGGAUAAGUUUUUGUAGACUUAGAUUUCUUCUCAGUUUGUUCUCCUUCACCGGCGGGUUCGGUCUUUCUCUUUUUGCCGUUCACAGAAUCUGAUACGUCGACAGCAGUUUUCUUUUCUUUCUCUUCCUUUUUAAGCUUAUCCUUGGAAUGCUUUUCAGCAACUUCAUCCUUUGGAACAGGCUUUUCUAAAAUCUCUUCUUCUGCUUGCUCGGCAUCCUCUUCGUCACUGUUCAACUCCUCUAUACGAGCACCAUUUUCUUCCUCUUCUUCUUCGCUUGAUGUAACGGAAAUAUCAUCCAUUUCUUCUUCAUCGCUGCUAAAUUCAUCUGCUCCAUAAAGAAAGUCAUUCUCGAGGUCACUACUAUCCUCCUCCUCCGGAAUGUUUGUAAUUAUGCAUGUUCCGCUCAAAUAAACCGGAAUAUCACCACCAACUCGUUCAAAGAAAACUUCUUCUCCAGGAGAGAAAAUAAUGUCAAUUGGUUGCUGGUAAACCGAGCCCUUUUUAAGGGUGCAUAGGGUAAAUUUUUCUUCUUGAAAAAGUUCUUCGUCACUUUCUUCUCCAUCUUCUUCGGGGUGCUCAAGCCUAGUGAUCACGUUUACUGUAACGGCAUCAUUUGAUUUAGCUCUAGGAUCCAAAGCUGCCAUCGUAAAACGAACAGAUAAUUCGCUACGAAAGCCUUUAUAAAAGUCUUCAUCGAAAAGAGGAACACGCUCCUGAUCCACU